rnacentral:rRNA from 1 species
CUUGUACACACCGCCCCGUCACACCAUGGGAGUUGGUUGCACCAGAAGUAGGUAGCCUAACCGCAAGGGGGCGCUUACCACGGUGUGGCUAAGUGACGUGGGGUG